rnacentral:rRNA from 1 species
AUCAUGGCUCAAGAUGAACGCUGGCGGCAUGCCUAACACAUGCAAGUCGAUCGGUAAGGCUCUUCGGAGUACACGAGAGGCGGAACGGCUGAGUAACGCGUAGGAACACACCCCGCAGCGAGGGAUAAGACACCGAAAGGUCGUUCUAAUACCGCAUACGGUCUUCGGAUUAAAGCAUUUACGCGCUGAAGGAGUCGGCCUGCGUCAUAUUAGAUAGUUCGGUGAGGUAAUGGCUUACCAAGUCGAUGAUGUGUAGCUGGUCUGAGAGGAUGAUUCAGCCAGACUGGAACUGAGACACGGUCCAGACUCCUACGGGAGGCAGCAGUGAGGAAUAUUUCACAAUGAGCGAAAGCUUGAUGGAGCAAUGCCGCGUGCAGGAUGAAGGCCCUCGGGUUGUAAACUGCUUUUAUAAGAGAAGAUUAUGACGGUAACUUAUGAAUAAGGGACGGCUAACUACGUGCCAGCAGCCGCGGUCAUACGUAGGUCCCGAGCGUUAUCCGGAGUGACUGGGCGUAAAGAGUUGCGUAGGCGGUCAAGUUAGCGAGCGAUGAAAACUAUCGGCUCAACCGAUAGCUUGUUGUUCGAACUGCUUGACUCGAGAGUAUCAGAGGUCGCUGGAAUUCCUAGUGUAGCAGUGAAAUGCGUAGAUAUUAGGAAGAACACCGAUGGCGUAGGCAGGCGACUGGGAUAUUUCUGACGCUAAGGCACGAAAGCGUGGGUAGCGAACCGGAUUAGAUACCCGGGUAGUCCACGCCGUAAACGAUGGAUGCUAAUUGUUUGAGGUAUCGACCCCUCGAGUAAUAAAGCUAACGCGUUAAGCAUCCCGCCUGUGGAGUACGGCCGCAAGGCUAAAACAUAAAGGAAUUGACGGGGACCCGCACAAGCGGUGGAGGAUGUUCUUUAAUUCGAAGUUAAGCGAAGAACCUUACCAGGGCUUGACAUCCCUAGAACUUUUUCGAAAGAAAAAGGUGCCUUCGGGAGCUAGGUGACAGAUCCUGCAUGGCCGUCGUCAGCUCGUGUCGUGAGAUGUUUGGUUAAGUCCAUCAACGAGCGCAACCCUUGUCGUCAGUUGUAUUUUUCUGGCGAGACUGCCCCGGUAACGGGGAGGAAGGAGGGGAUGAUGUCUGGUCAGUAUUGGUCUUACGCCCUGGGCUAGAAACGUCCUACAAUGGUCGGUACAAUGGGCAGCCAACCCGUGAGGGGGAGCAAAUCCCAUCAAAGCCGGUCUCAGUUCGGAUUGCAGGCUGAAACUCGCCUGCAUGAAGUCGGAAUCGCUAGUAAUCGCAGAUCAGCACGUUGCGGUGAAUACGUUCCCGGGUCUUGUACACACCGCCCGUC